rnacentral:rRNA from 1 species
UACGUAGGGUGCGAGCGUUGUCCGGAAUUAUUGGGCGUAAAGGGCUCGUAGGCGGUCUGUUGCGUCGGUAGUGAAAACUCAGGGCUUAACCCUGAGCCUGCUUCCGAUACGGGCAGACUAGAGGUAUGCAGGGGAGAACGGAAUUCCUGGUGUAGCGGUGAAAUGCGCAGAUAUCAGGAGGAACACCGGUGGCGAAGGCGGUUCUCUGGGCAUUACCUGACGCUGAGGAGCGAAAGCGUGGGGAGCAAACAGG